AUUUAUUGUUCCUUAGGCUGGCGGUGCAAUGCUGUUCACACACAGAUGUACAUGCUGGAGGGAGUAUCGAGGUGGAACAUGGGCCGGGCCAAGGAGGCAGUAGAUGUGGAGGGGGCCUCAACCCUCAGAAGCUUUGAUGUCCGCUUGAUGUCCCACCUCAGCAACUUAAGACAGCGCGUUCUUGGUUCCACUCUGGUGCCAGAGUUCACUCCACCCGGGAAACCUACUAGCGAGCGCAUAGCAGUGGAGUAUUUAUUGGCCCAGACCAACAGAGGUGACCUGCUGGCUCCAAAUCAGGUCCCUGAGGUCCCCUCGCAGGUACUUGAGGAGGAGGAUGAGCCGGAUGACACCAUCAGCAUGACUGACAUUCUGUGCCAGUCAGCUGCGAUAGGGGCUGGUGAUCCUCCAGGUGCUGUGGUGGGUGACGCUGAACCCGGACCCCUCGUCACACAGGUGCAGGUGCUUGAGGCGGAGGAGGAGGCAGAUGACACCAUCAGCAUGACUGAUCACACAGGUGAUCCUCCAGGUGCUGUGGAGGAUGACGAUGAACCCGGACCCUCGUCACAG
ensembl:lncRNA